UGCCAAGCCAGGGCAGCCAGUGUGGAUUUCCUUCUCAGAUUCUUGUGAGAGCACAUCUGUGCUUGCAGUACCUCAAGGAACUGACGACUGUUAAUUUUUCUGCUGGAAGCUGGUAGAAGCGGCUCUCUGGAAGGCAUUUGUGAGGGCCAGUGCCCUAGCUGCCACACUGGACCAUGAGAAUGAGGCCAGGCCAUGGAGACCGCAGAGUGGUGAGGCAGGUCCCUGGGAACUCCAUGAGCAGAGCCCCCAUGUCAGCGCUGUGCUGUCUACCUCUGCAGCUUUACUUGAAAGAAACCCCGGGAGCUGGCUUUGGACAUGAACAUGCUCAGCAAAGGCAGAGUCUUCCUGGCAGGUCAACCACCCAGCCGUGAGCUGCCCAAGGCAUUCUGGGGCCUCUGCAUCACUGAAGACUCAAGUCUCAUCCAUACUUACUGCCCAGGUUACAAGGAUUCCCUCGACCCUCCAUUCACUCUAAUCUCUGUCUGAAGUA